GAUCGCAGAUGGUGUUGGUGUGGAAGACAUCUGUGGCACAGGGCAGAGAAGACAUGAUUGGCUUCCUCUUAAAGUCAGGGCCAAGGAUGUGCAAAAAAGAUCUAAGGAUGCCACGAGGAAUUCCAGCUCUGUCUGGCGCGCAUUCAGGGCAGGGUGACCAAUCACAACAGAUCCGGAGGCCAUCCACUGGGGACCCAGGGACACACUGAGUACCCGGUGAUCCAAGGUUUUCGUAUGUUUUUUUGGCAGAACCUGGAAUGAAGAAUAGAUGUGAUAAAUUGUGCUGUAUCAGGUUGGGUGCAGUUCCCUACUGUCCAGCGUUCUCUCUGUUCCCUAUCCUGUCUUGCAGAGAUGAGGUGGAGGCAUUACAAAGGGAGAAAUUUUACUGUUUGUGGCCAAACAGUAUUCAGGAUGUCAUUACCAGUUUCACCUAAGUCUUCUUUCCAAAAUGCUAUUAUAUAAUUUCUCUGCAGAAAUUCCGCUUAACACCCAGCCUUCCAGACUUUGCUCUCGCACUUGUUUUAAACCUUGUCUUUGUACUAACUACACAGCAAUGACGGAGAAUUACUUUUUCCCUUAAAAAUAAAACUGC
rnacentral:lncRNA from 1 species